rnacentral:rRNA from 1 species
UCGAGAAUCUUCGGCAAUGGGCGCAAGCCUGACCGAGCGACGCCGCGUGGAGGACGAAGGCCUUCGGGUUGUAAACUCCUGUCGAGGGGGAAGAAGGGGCCGCAAGGCCCUUGACUGAUCCCUGGAGGAAGCACGGGCUAAGUUCGUGCCAGCAGCCGCGGUAAGACGAACCGUGCGAACGUUAUUCGGAAUCACUGGGCUUAAAGCGCGUGUAGGUGGAUGGGAACGUCGGUCGUUGAAAUCCCCCGGCUUAACCGGGGAAGUGGCGCCGAAACGACCCGUCUCGAGGAACGUAGGGGGAGCUGGAACUUCCGGUGGAGCGGUGAAAUGCGUUGAGAUCGGAAUGAACGCCCGUGGCGAAAGCGAGCUCCUGGACGUUUUCUGACACUGAGACGCGAAAGCCAGGGGAGCGAACGG